AUGUACAUGCGUACAAUUUUAAUGACCCAAAUCCCAUAAAAAAUCCAUAGUUAAGCAUGCUUGGGUUAGAGUAGUACUGGGAUGGGUGACCUCCCGAGAAGUCCUAGUGUUUUACAUG
rfam:Picea glauca, whole genome shotgun sequence.